rnacentral:rRNA from 1 species
GACGAACGCUGGCGGCGUGCUUAGCACAUGCAAGUCGAACGGAAAGGCCUCUUUCGGGGGGUACUCGAGUGGCGAACGGGUGAGUAACACGUGAGUAACCUGCCCUUGACUUUGGGAUAACUUCAGGAAACUGGGGCUAAUACCGGAUAGGAGCUCCUGCUGCAUGGUGGGGGUUGGAAAGUUUCGGCGGUUGGGGAUGGACUCGCGGCUUAUCAGCUUGUUGGUGGGGUAGUGGCUUACCAAGGCUUUGACGGGUAGCCGGCCUGAGAGGGUGACCGGCCACAUUGGGACUGAGAUACGGCCCAGACUCCUACGGGAGGCAGCAGUGGGGAAUAUUGCACAAUGGGUGGAAGCCUGAUGCAGCAACGCCGUGUGCGGGAUGACGGCCUUCGGGUUGUAAACCGCUUUCGCUCAUGACGAAGCUUUGUGUGACGGUAGUGGGUAAAGAAGCACCGGCUAACUACGU